AGUAAAUGCUUGGAUACCCCAUUACAUCCCGGGGAGAAUUGUUAUGACGACAACAGAGCCAGAGACGAAGGCUGCUUCUCCCGAAUUCUACCAUUGUGAACACUAGUGGGUAAAUGUACGAGAGAGAGAGAGAAGGGGAAAAGUGUUUGGUUUUCCCAUUGUAAUGCAACGAAACAUCUGUUUUCCUUUCAUCUCCGGGGAAACGUUUGUUGCUUAAGGUAUUCCUAGGCAACGGCCUACUGUUAUUGCGUUUCCAUAGAAGUAUUGCUUCCGGAUUCCCGGCACACGACUCUUAUGUUUCUUCCUUGAUGUAAGAAUUUGUGGGAACUGUUCACAUUCAAGGAAACGCUACAGCGACAGCUCAGGUACUAUUGCUUAGCAAAUGCGAGUGAACAGUCAUUGCUAUUUAAGGUCUACAAUAAUGUUUGACUAUGGGAAGCAGACACAAUGGCUCGAGUGCUACCCAAUCGCAGGCUAGAAACCAUUCGCUGCCUAGCAACGGCUGAGUACAUAGAGUUGCGUUUCAGCAGAACAUUCAAGGUGGUACUGAGUUCACUAUUGUUAUUAUAUUAUUAAUCUUCAAUUCUUCAAGUACGUCUUAGUAUACUGUAUAGCCAUGAAAAUAUUAUAGAACACUUCAACAAGUGGUUUUCUCUUCGUACAUCGGCUUCCCACAAACUGAAAUUUUACAUCCAUAUAAAGAAGCAGGUAAUAUUAUUCUUUAAUCUUUACAUUUUACACAGAAGACAGGAAGGUAAGUGAUUCUGAAUUGUGUGAUGAGAAACGUUCCCUGAAUUGAUUUCUUUUUUUCCUUUUGUCGCUACAGCCCAAAGUUUGGCCUUGGCCAACCUCCAUGAAACUUUCCAUUUCACUUCGGUUUGCUAGAUCUUAGUGCUUUGCUCAUUUUGCUAGAUAGUAAGUAGGAUAUUUGUAAGACUGGAUACCCAGGUUAAAUGCCAGGCGGCUGGCUGGAAGGCAAGGAGACAGAACCGCGGCUGACGACUCGCUUUCCUUGUCCGUCGAUUGCGCUGUAUUUAGUAAAGAUUGUUUACGCAUCAGUGGAAUGACCCGGUCAAGUUUCACUCGCACGACAGUAAAUCCUUCAACAAGUUGCUGACCUUUGGGGUUUUGCGCGAGCAGCCUUUCGUGAGUUGAGAAAAUGUUGAAUUUGGAAUUGUGAAGUAAAAGCUAUUUGAGGCAUUCUGUUUUUAGUAGUUUCUCAGAACAGUCGUGCUGAAACAAAGUGUGCUUGUGGAAAGGAGUUCUGAUAGCGCCAUUGGUCAUUAUCAUUAUGAUCAGCACGAGAUAGUUCUACAACUAAGCACUAAAGGACAGUGGAAGGACUAGUACAAGAAUCCCAUGCACACUGUCCCUUUACGUGUUGCUGACAUGAACAAACCGAACAUUCCUCCAAAUGCAGGCCCAGAGGUUAUUGACUGGGAACCAACUGCUUCAGUGAUAGAUGAUGGCUUAUUGCCACCAGACAGGCCUGAUGGAAGGCCUAGAAUGACACGUGGUAGCAGCCAAGACAGCAUAUAUCAAUAUGAUUUGUAUUGGUUGGCAGCGGGUUUGAUCUUCUCUAUCUGCUUGUCGACAAUAUUUGCCAAUGUGUGGCAAGUGAGGUAUGUUUUGGUGAGUGGACGCGAUGGCCCUUCUUAUUACCUUAUUCUCAUCAGCAUAAUUCUCGAGGUAAAUGCAUAUUAAUCUGAAAUGCAAUGAACAAUAUAAGCCAAAAUUCUGACACUUUAGCAUAUUUAAUCCUUUGUCACACCUUACGCCAUACACUUUCAUUCGUUCUUUCAUUCAUAUUUCCUGUUGGUCCUUCUGAAGCACUGGGCAUCUUUGAAAUGCUUCAUUUCAGUUCAGUAUGACUCCUGGACAAGGGAUUGGCCCAUCUCAAAAGCUG